GCAGAGAAAUAAAAUAUCACUUAUAUAUACCCUGGAUAUGGCAGGGAGUUUCUACCGGAAACCUAAAAUUUCCGACUAUGAGUGAGUGGACUUGUUGC
rnacentral:ncRNA from 2 species